rfam:Triticum aestivum genome assembly, contig: Triticum_aestivum_CS42_TGACv1_scaffold_221001_3B
CUCUCUGAUUCGGAGAUCGUGUCCAAGAUUCUUGCCGGGCUGGACAUGGAAUAUAAUCCUGUUGUCUCGGCUCUUGCUGCUCGAGUUGAACCCAUCACCAUCUAGGAGCUCUAUAGCCAACUCCUGAGCUUUGAC